rnacentral:rRNA from 1 species
GACGAACGCUGGCGGCGUGCUUAACACAUGCAAGUCGAACGGAAAGGCCCUGCAUUUGUGGGGUGCUCGAGUGGCGAACGGGUGAGUAACACGUGAGUAACCUGCCCUUGACUUUGGGAUAACUUCAGGAAACUGGGGCUAAUACCGGAUAGGAGCUCCUGCUGCAUGGUGGGGGUUGGAAAGUUUCGGCGGUUGGGGAUGGACUCGCGGCUUAUCAGCUUGUUGGUGGGGUAGUGGCUUACCAAGGCUUUGACGGGUAGCCGGCCUGAGAGGGUGACCGGCCACAUUGGGACUGAGAUACGGCCCAGACGCCUACGGGAGGCAGCAGUGGGGAAUAUUGCACAAUGGGCGGAAGCCUGAUGCAGCAACGCCGCGUGCGGGAUGACGGCCUUCGGGUUGUAAACCGCUUUCGCCUGUGACGAAGCGUGAGUGACGGUAAUGGGUAAAGAAGCACCGGCUAACUACGUG